ACGCUCGACACUACUGGAGGCAGCAGUGGGGAAUAUUGCACAAUGGGGGAAACCCUGAUGCAGCGACGCCGCGUGAGCGAAGAAGUAUUUCGGUAUGUAAAGCUCUAUCAGCAGGGAAGAUAAUGACGGUACCUGACUAAGAAGCUCCGGCUAAAUACGUGCCAGCAGCCGCGGUAAUCUGAGGCGGGCUGGCAAGGC
rnacentral:rRNA from 1 species